UUAGAGUUUGAUCCUGGCUCAGGAUGAACGCUGGCGGCGUGCUUAACACAUGCAAGUCGAACGAUGAUCCGGUGCUUGCACCGGGGAUUAGUGGCGAACGGGUGAGUAACACGUGAGUAACCUGCCCUUGGCUCUGGGAUAAGCCUGGGAAACUGGGUCUAAUACCGGAUAUGACUCCUCAUCGCAUGGUGGGGGGUGGAAAGCUUUUGCGGUUUUGGAUGGACUCGCGGCCUAUCAGCUUGUUGGUGAGGUAAUGGCUUACCAAGGCGACGACGGGUAGCCGGCCUGAGAGGGUGACCGGCCACACUGGGACUGAGACACGGCCCAGACUCCUACGGGAGGCAGCAGUGGGGAAUAUUGCACAAUGGGCGCAAGCCUGAUGCAGCGACGCCGCGUGAGGGAUGACGGCCUUCGGGUUGUAAACCUCUUUCAGUAGGGAAGAAGCGAAAGUGACGGUACCUGCAGAAGAAGCGCCGGCUAACUACGUGCCAGCAGCCGCGGUAAUACGUAGGGCGCAAGCGUUAUCCGGAAUUAUUGGGCGUAAAGAGCUCGUAGGCGGUUUGUCGCGUCUGCCGUGAAAGUCCGGGACUCAACUCCGGAUCUGCGGUGGGUACGGGCAGACUAGAGUGAUGUAGGGGAGACUGGAAUUCCUGGUGUAGCGGUGAAAUGCGCAGAUAUCAGGAGGAACACCGAUGGCGAAGGCAGGUCUCUGGGCAUUAACUGACGCUGAGGAGCGAAAGCAUGGGGAGCGAACAGGAUUAGAUACCCUGGUAGUCCAUGCCGUAAACGUUGGGCACUAGGUGUGGGGGACAUUCCACGUUUUCCGCGCCGUAGCUAACGCAUUAAGUGCCCCGCCUGGGGAGUACGGCCGCAAGGCUAAAACUCAAAGGAAUUGACGG
rnacentral:rRNA from 1 species